rnacentral:rRNA from 1 species
UACCAGCACCCCGAGUGGUCGGGACGUUUAUUGGGCCUAAAGCAUCCGUAGCCGGUUCUACAAGUCUUCCGUUAAAUCCAACUGCUUAACAGGUGGGCUGCGGAGGAUACUAUAGAGCUAGGAGGCGGGAGAGGCAAGCGGUACUCGAUGGGUAGGGGUAAAAUCCGUUGAUCCAUUGAAGACCACCAGUGGCGAAGGCGGCUUGCCAGAACGCGCUCGACGGUGAGGGAUGAAAGCUGGGGGAGCAAACCGG